CUACGGGGUGCUGCAGUGAGGAAUUUUGCGCAAUGGGGGAAACCCUGACGCAGCAACGCCGCGUGAGUGAAGAAGGCCCUUGGGUCGUAAAGCUCUGUCAAUGGGGAAGAAGUUAUUAUGUGUUAAUAGCACAUUUUAUUGACGGUACCCAUGAAGGAAGCACCGGCUAACUCCGUGCCAGCAGCCGCGGUAAUACGGGGGGUGCAAGCGUUAUUCGGAAUUAUUGGGCGUAAAGGGCACGCAGGCGGUCCUGUCAGUCAGAUGUGAAAGCCCGGGGCUCAACCCCGGACGUGCAUUUGAAACAGCAGGACUUGAGUACGGGAGAGGAAAGGGGAAUUCCUGGUGUAGAGGUGAAAUUCGUAGAUAUCAGGAGGAACACCGGUGGCGAAGGCGCCUUUCUGGACCGAUACUGACGCUGAGGUGCGAAGGCGUGGGUAGCGAACGGGAUUAGAUACCCUGGUAGUC
rnacentral:rRNA from 1 species